UUGUUCAUAAUUGAUCUAAAACUUAAUUUCUACAAAACUCUAGAUCUGAAACUAUAGGAUUUAUUUGCAUGAAACUCUGAAAUUAUGGCUGGCAUGCUUGUCGAGUCGACUCGAAGUCAGUUCGAGUCGACUCAAGUCUUUGAUGAGUCGACUCAUGCUUAUUGGAGUCUACUUGAGAUCCUGGUUAGUGGGCUCAUUUGCAUAUGAGUCGACUCAAUCCUGCGGC
rnacentral:lncRNA from 1 species